AUUAUUGCCCGAGAGGUAAUGUUUGUGAGAACGGUGGAAGGUGUGUGAAUUCUGCAAUAACUGGGUUGUUUUGGAGAUGCAAGUGCCGGGUGGGAUUUUCUGGAAGACGAUGUACAAAACCAAGAAUUACAAAGCCUCCAAAGCCAGAAUCACAACCACAAACAGAGCCAGAGACAAAACCAGAAACAGAACCAGAAACAGAACCAUGCGAGAAGGAUAACUGCGUCGAUGAACCCUGUAAAAAUAAUGGAAAUUGUGUAUCUAGUUCUACAGGGUUCACAUGUAAAUGUGCAAAAGGCUACAAGGGAAAGACAUGUACAGAGAAGGAUCACUGCGUCGAUGAACCCUGUGAAAAUGAUGGAAAUUGUGUAUCUAGUUCUACAGGGUUCACAUGUAAAUGUACAAGACACUACAAG